UGUACAUACCUCUGGUGUACCUCUGGUGUACCAGUUGUCGUGCCAACGGCAUAGCUGGGUAGCUAUGUAUGGACGGGAUAAGUGCUGAAAGCAUCUAAGCAUGAAGCCCCCCUCAAGAUGAGAUUUCCCAACUUCGGUUAUAAGAUCCCUCGAAGAUGACGAGGUUAAUAGGUUCGAGGUGGAAGCGUGGUGACACGUGGAGCUGACGAAUACUAAUCGAUCGAAGACUUAAUCAA
rnacentral:rRNA from 1 species